rnacentral:lncRNA from 10 species
CAUCAUCUGACUUGCAGUUGGCAAGAGCUCUGCCCCAUCCUAUUUGUUUCACCCCCUGUCACUUAUUUCCCUCUUCCUGACCACUUUGAACCUGAUGCCAGCCCCUCACAGUCACUGCAUUGCAUCUGGAUGAGCCACUUUUCUUCCUGAUUUCCUGAGCUCUAGGGGAGCAUAGAGAUAAUGGGGUCAGGGGACACAGUGUGGCCACCGUGAAGGAAGCAGCUUAGGCCCCAGAAGUCUCCAGGAUUGCUGUACCGAGAUGACCAGGGUGUGAUCUCUCACCCUAAGGAGCUGAAUUUGGCUUUUCUGUGGGAAAGUGUCUGGGAAGAAUAUCAGAGACCAAUAGCGCUCAGGGGGCCCUUUCUCGGGGCUGUCCAGUGUGGAAACACCCUGUCCUACACCAGUGGUUCCUGAUUCCGGCUCUGAAUCAGAUUCACGAGGGCAACUUUUUUUUUUUUUUUGAUAUGGAGUCUUGCUGUCGCCCAGGCUAGAAUGCAGUGGCGCGAUCUUGACUCACUACAACC